CAGAAUUUUAAAAGGGGCAUGCUCCACUUAGGAUAUAGAGGGGAUGAUGCCCAGAUUUUCUCAAAGAAAAAGCGGGCUGCCUCUCAGAAUAUGGCGGCCGCAGAGUCCAACGCAUCUCCACGUGGGCUGCAAGUUUGAGGGGAAACAACCAGCAUCAACACAAAAUAUCUCCGCAUGAUGCGCCAUAAGAUGAAAGAUAGGUUGCACCAUUAAAGAAUGUAAGUGGUAGCUGCAUCUUUGAAUGACCACAUAUGUACAGCUUGGAGACAUUGCCACUUUGCCACAGUCCGUGCACCCAUUCGAAAGGCUGGAAGAGAAACACCACGUCAAAAAUUAAUAGGCAUCUACCUUGAGCUUGCAGGUAUGAUAUUAUUCAUUUAGUAUUUUUAUUGGCUACAAUCUUCCUUCUUGUGUAAGUUUUUUUUUAACUAGCUGCAAGGCAGAUUGGAUUGUGGGACAAAUAAUAUUGUUUCCUUUAAAAUUAUUUAUUUCACAAAAUGCUUUAUAAAUUUGUAUAAUUAUAAGAUAAAAAUUAUUUAAUCGUGAUACAAAAAGCCAUCUUUCAUUUUUUUUCUCUUACCUUGCAUCUCUAAUAUUAAUUGUCACUAAGUACAGGAAGAAACAGAUGUAGGAGACUGAAUGGUUGGUAGUUUCAAAUUGUAUGUAUAAGGGACCAUGAAGCAAAAAUAAAAAUCAAAAUAUGGACCUUAAGGAAUGAGAUUUCUACAUACCUGAAACCAGAGGAUUUUGCAAAGGAUUUGAAGGUGGAAGGAAGAAGAGAAGCAGGAGAAACAAUUCCAAUCUUCUUGUUCCCAUCUCACUCCGGUUUGGUUGUCCCACAUGAGAACUCCUCUAUCUUCAUCUUUAUACUAUAUUCUUUCACUCCUGGAAAGGGGAUUUGGGA